GGUAUAGCUCAGCUGGUAGAGCACCUGGUUGUGGUCCAGGAUGUCGCGGGUUCGAAUCCCGUUAC
rnacentral:tRNA from 1 species